UCCUCGCCUAGGUGUGGAGCUUCCCGACC
rnacentral:piRNA from 1 species